CAGCAGCCGCGGGAAUACAGAGGGUGCGAGCGUUAAUCGGAUUUACUGGGCGUAAAGCGUGCGUAGGCGGCUUCUUAAGUCGGAUGUGAAAUCCCUGAGCUUAACUUAGGAAUUGCAUUCGAUACUGGGAAGCUAGAGUAUGGGAGAGGAUGGUAGAAUUCCAGGUGUAGCGGUGAAAUGCGUAGAGAUCUGGAGGAAUACCGAUGGCGAAGGCAGCCAUCUGGCCUAAUACUGACGCUGAGGUACGAAAGCAUGGGGAGCAAACAGGAUUAGAUACCCCUGUAGUCCCUGUUUCUUAUAC
rnacentral:rRNA from 1 species